ACAAAAAUAGAAAAAAGUGAAAUGAGUCCAAGACUAAAAGUAAAGGAGACAAAGAUAUAUUCUUUGAGUAAGCAAACAAUACAGUGUAUGGAUGAAGGUAAUGCAUUAAUGAUUUUCAUUGAAAUUUGACUUGAUAUCUACUUAUCUAAAAUCUUGUAAAUGUGCAUCUUGCGUCUUGAAUUAUCAAAGGAUUGGACAGA
rnacentral:lncRNA from 1 species